rnacentral:lncRNA from 1 species
CUGUGGUUCCCUCAGGUUAUCUGCAGGAAGAAAACGCUUCUAAAAAUCAUCUCCUGACACUGAAGCUCACCUCCCUGCUAGGGAUUGAGGCACCAAAGGGAAAAACAGUGCUGGGGAGGGGAGGAAUAAAAUCCCUGCUGCUUCUGUCCGCAGGCAUUCGAGCUUUCCUGUUUUGUGAACACCCCAGGGGGAAGCAGCAGCUUCAUGCUGCCGGGGAGGGUGCGAGCAAUGAAGGGGGCCGUGAUUCCUGCACAAAGCGCCUCCAAACCCCGGGUAAUUGGUAGCUGCUCGUUAACGAGCUCUCCCCCCGUGUGCCCCCACCCUGGGGCUGAGCAGCUGCUCGCCCGGCAAACCCCCGUGGCUGGCUUCGUUUCACCCACCCCUCUGCUCUCCACCUAAAAACCCCGUGAGACCUUCUCCCUGUGCAGGCUCGGCGCAUCCCUGCCCUGGAUGAGGCCCCGAGCACGGCGUGCUGCUGCUGCUGCUGCCCCCGGUCCCCUCCCUGGCUCCCUCCCUGCCCGAGGACGCGCUGCUGCUGGGCAGGGAACGGGGGACGCUGCCCCGUUUGGCCAGGGUCGAGCUGCUCCAACUGAGCGCUGCUCGGUUACCUCUCGGCAAACCUGGGGAGCCAAAGACGGACACGGAGGAGCUGACGGAGCCUGGGCAGGGCAGAGGCAGCCCCGGCUGGCCCUGCCAGCAGCUCUGGGCACCACGUCCCCGUGCAGGGACCCCUCUGUGCCAGCAGCUGCACUGGGACCAUCACCACCACUCCCUGGGGACACCGAGGUGCCAAAACGCAGAGAAGAGCUGCCUUUGCCAGAGCAAGAAGAAGCAGAGGGCAGGCCAGGGACACAAAGCAGGGGUCCCCACGCUCCCCGUGCCCCAUCCCCGGCAGCCCCAGAGAAGCAGCACCCAGCACGCCGCCCCCCAGCCCACACCAUGACCCCGCUGGGCUCCGCAGGACACCGGUGCCACCGGGGCAGCCCCGAUCCCCCGGGACGCAGGCGCUGCCCGAGCUGCUGCUGUUUGCCUCGGUGCAGCAGCAGGAAGCUUUGCCGUCUAAUUAAACAAAUCCUUCAUCUCCUCGGCGGCAGCCGUGCCAGGCAGGGGAGCAGCAGGGGGGGCACGGAGCAGGGGGAGGGGGGCCGAGUUCUCCUUCCUUCGCUCCCCGCCUGAUGCCGCAGCUGUGUAACGCUUCGCCUUCCAAACCCAUCCCUCCGGGGGGGCUCUGGCAAAUAAAAAUAACCCCGCGCAGCUCGGCCGAGCCGGG